GCAAACUAUAAAGUAUUGAGCUCAAUAUUUUUUAGCUAAUUUGUUUGGAACGCUCAAAAAGUUUAAGAAGCAUAUAUUAGUGACGUUCUGGUGGGUGGAGUCUUGUCGCUCCCUCAGGAAAGCUGAGUCAGCCAUCUUGAAUUUACCUUGAUGCGGGGAAGAUUUGGCCAGCCCGUGUGGAUUAAGAGUCCCCAACUUCAACCCACCACGACCACCACCUUAAUUUUUUUCAUCAACUGCCCUAAAUUUGUUUAGAGGGGUAUUCCACUAAGCGAGCUCUACAAGUCAAGGCUGGGCAGUGGGUCCAUGAAUAAACUGCCUCACUCCUGCAGGUGUCUUUCCAUACUUCCCAUCGUUCAAGAACCAAAAGAUGGCUGCUGC